AGUGAACCGGGAAGAGCUCAAAUUUGAAAUCUGGCGUCCUCAGGGCGUCCGAGUUGUAAUCUAUAGAGGCGUUUUCCGCGCCGGACCGUGUAUAAGUCUCCUGGAACGGAGUAUCAAAGAGGGUGACAAUCCCGUGCUUUACACGACGACCGGUGCUAUGUGAUACGUCUUCUACGAGUCGAGUUGUUUGGGAAUGCAGCUCAAAACGGGUGGUAAACUCCAUCUAAAGCUAAAUAUUGGUGGGAGACCGAUAGCGAACAAGUACCGUGAGGGAAAGAUGAAAAGCACUUUGGAAAGAGAGUUAAACAGUAUGUGAAAUUGUUGAAAGGGAAACGAUUGAAGUCAGUCGUGUCCAUUGGGUUCAGCCGGUCCUGCCGGUCUACUCCCUUUGGACGGGUCAACAUCAGUUUUGAUCGGCGGAUAAUGGCGUGAGGAACGUGGCACCCUCCGGGGUGUGUUAUAGCCUCKCGUCGCAUACGCUGGUCGAGACUGAGGAACGCAGCUCGCCUUUAUGGCCGGGGUUCGCCCACGUCCGAGCUUAGGAUGUUGACAUAAUGGCUUUA
rnacentral:rRNA from 1 species